UACGAAGGGGGCUAGCGUUGCUCGGAAUCACUGGGCGUAAAGGGCGCGUAGGCGGGAUGGCAAGUCGGUCGUGAAAUCCCUCGGCUCAACUGAGGAUCGUCGAUCGAUACUGCCGUUCUUGAGGAUUGCAGAGGAGACUGGAAUUCCCGGUGUAGCGGUGAAAUGUGUAGAGAUCGGGAGGAACACCGGUGGCGAAGGCGGGUCUCUGGGCAAUUCCUGACGCUGAGGCGCGAAAGCGUGGGGAGCAAACGGG
rnacentral:rRNA from 1 species